rnacentral:rRNA from 1 species
GACAGAGGGUGCUAGCGUUGUUCGGAAUUACUGGGCGUAAAGGGCGCGUAGGCGGCUCGUUUAGUCGGGUGUGAAAUCCCGGGGCUCAACCCCGGAACUGCAUUCGAUACUGGCGGGCUAGAGACCGGAAGAGGUGGGUGGAAUACCCAGUGUAGAGGUGAAAUUCGUAGAUAUUGGGAAGAACACCCGUGGCGAAGGCGGCUCUCUGGGACGGUACUGACGCUGAGACGCGAAAGCGUGGGGAGCGAACAGG